rnacentral:lncRNA from 1 species
AACAAAGUAUUUUAAUAUUAGGGGAUCAGCAGCACAAAUCUAAGGGUAUCUGAAGAAUUUUAUCAUUUUUUUUUGCCAAAUAAAAUGGUAGUCCAUAAUACUAAGCCAUCAGCGCCACUGAUGACAGCUAAAGAAAAUUUAUGGGACAUCUUAAGGAAUCAGAGAAGGCUUUGGACAUAGAUGGGAAAUGCCUGUAUUUAAAUAGAUUUUUGACCCUAAAAUUGGAAUCAUUUCCUUUAGUAUAAAGUAAGGGUGGACAGGCCAUUGUGAAUACCAAAUUUUUCCCACUAGUAAUGAGUCCAUCCCUCGAGUGCUGCUAUGUGUCAGGAGCUUAACAAUGUAUUAGACACAUCUUAUUAUACUCAUUAUCAGAUGAGGAAACAGGCUAAAAGGUCAAGCCACAGCUAGCAUUUGAUGACAUGAGGCCUUAAAAAGUGAACAUUAGCUUCUAUAGAGUGCUUACUAUGGAGCAAACUCAGUGGGGAGUACUUUUUAUAAUUCCCACACAGCAAACUUAUGAGGUUGGUACUAUCACUAUUAUUAAUUUUUGCAGAUGAGGAAGUAGAGUCACAGAGGAAUCAAGUUGGAAUUCUAAGAUUGUUUAGCUCUCAACGCUUGCUUCUUCCACAUGGCUGUAUUCCUAGAUGAAAUGGAAAUUGACAUUUCCAAGAUUAAACACUAGUUAUUGAGAGAAGCCAGGGUUCUAGGAAGUAGUAGGGAAGAAGAAUUGAUGAUAGGGAAAAAUAGAAAGAAGCCAUCUAAAUUUAUCUAUUGUGAGCCACAAUGAAGAAUCUUUAAAAUAACCUGAAGUGGAAGCAAUUGUCUAACUAAGCACAGAUGAGAGUCAUUUAAUAGUUCAAAAAGGCAACUGAAUGGCAAUAGCUCAGUUUUGGAGGAGCUAGUGAAAUUGGCUAUGAACAUUGACUGUUUGUGAUUUUCACUAGGACAGAACAAAUGCACAGGGCUUAGAUAGGUCACAAUGAGAGAUACUUCAGUACACUAGUAGCAAGAUUUUCUGAUGCGAAUGUUGCUGUGGAAUUGAAAAGUUACCAGAGAGAUUACAUCUAUAUAGCUAGAAACUUUAAAAUACAGCUUUAAACCAGUAUUGGAUGGCUUAUCUCUUAUCCUGCCUCAACCCAGAGAGAUGGAGUCAGCCAUUCAAGAUCCCAUCCAACCUCUUGAUUAUAUGAAACAUCCCGAAUUCCCAAUCAAUUAGGAGAGGAGUAUCUAGACUUUCCUUCAAUGUGUGCAUAACAACACUUGUUCUUUCUAGGCUUUCUUAUCCUCUCCCCUUAAAAAGAGAGAGUUUGAAUCUGGAAACAAAGAGAAUAGCAAAGUCUAUGUAAUUUGAUCCCAUUUCCUAUUAUCUCCUUGUUAUGCCACAGCAAAAAUGCCUUUCUCAGGUAAAGAAGUUUCAAAUCUCCUCAUCCUUUAGAACAUCAAGACCCAUUUCUAGGUGCAAUGUCUCUGCUCACAUUGCUCUCCCUUGCCUGGGAUGCUCUUUCUCUUAGGAAAUCCACCCACCUACUGUGUCAUGUUCUACCCAGUGUUCAAGGUCUCACUCUAAUCAUAGAGCCUCUAGUCAUACUCUUCUGAGAAUUUCUCUGAUACUGUAAGUCUGUAUCACAGUCUAUUGCUGAAUUACGUUGUUUGUGAUUCUUUGGCAUUAUACAAUAUCCAUCUUUCCAACCAGAUUGUGAGUUCUUUAAGAAAUCUUACCCAGUGCUCUUCUGAAUCUCCCAAAUCGCACAGUCAGAAUGCAAAGAUUUUGUUGUUGUUGUUGUUUUUAGUCACAAAUAGUUUUGAGAACUUAUUUUCAGUCUUGAGUUUUCAUGAGCUUAAAAAUUAAAAAUACUAAAAAUGCACAGGGGUUAGGUAGGGAUUAUUAUAUCCUUGCAGAAUAUAUUAGGAAUUAGUCAAACUGCAAACUGUGUUGGGCACAACAUUAUCUCAUUGCAGAGGCAACACUAUCUGAUGAUUUUUACUGAAAGGAUUUGGAAUGGAGAUGCCCUUGACAUUUUCAUGUAGGCAUCCAGGAAAGAUUCAGGAAAUGAGGCUGCUCCUGUCCUCUGAAGCUCCAAUUCUCUGGUCCCCUAUGUCAAGAUAAGAGUCCAUUCUGCUGGAAUCAGUUCAUCUGAAGUUUAAGUGUAGAAAGAAUGUUGUAUACUGUGAUGCUGGGGCUGGCUCUCUGCAAACCACGUUUCAGCUUGGCCUGAUGGUG